rnacentral:rRNA from 1 species
AAAAGUGAAAGACGGUCUUGCUGUCACUUAUAGAUGGAUCCGCGCUGCAUUAGCUAGUUGGUAAGGUAACGGCUUACCAAGGCAACGAUGCAUAGCCGACCUGAGAGGGUGAUCGGCCACACUGGAACUGAGACACGGUCCAGACUCCUACGGGAGGCAGCAGUAGGGAAUCUUCCGCAAUGGGCGAAAGCCUGACGGAGCAACGCCGCGUGAGUGAUGAAGGUCUUCGGAUCGUAAAACUCUGUUAUUAGGGAAGAACAUAUGUGUAAGUAACUGUGCACAUCUUGACGGUACCUAAUCAGAAAGCCACGGCUAACUACGUGCCAGCAGCCGCGGUAAUACGUAGGUGGCAAGCGUUAUCCGGAAUUAUUGGGCGUAAAGCGCGCGUAGGCGGUUUUUUAAGUCUGAUGUGAAAGCCCACGGCUCAACCGUGGAGGGUCAUUGGAAACUGGAAAACUUGAGUGCAGAAGAGGAAAGUGGAAUUCCAUGUGUAGCGGUGAAAUGCGCAGAGAUAUG